GACGAACGCUGGCGGCGUGCUUAACACAUGCAAGUCGAGCGGUAAGGCCCUUUCGGGGGUACGACGAGCGGCGAACGGGUAGGAGUAACAACGUGGGUGGACCUCGCCCUCCAGCUCUGGGAGUAAGCCUCGGGAAACCGGGGUACGUAAUACUGGAUAUGACUCCAUGACGCAUGUUGGUUGGGGUGGGAAAGCCUUGUGCGGCUGAGGAUGGGCCCGGCGGCCUAUCAGCUUGUUGGUGGGGUGANGGCCUACCAAGGCGGACGACGGGUAGCCGG
rnacentral:rRNA from 1 species